rnacentral:rRNA from 1 species
GAUGAACGCUGGCGGCGUGCCUAAUACAUGCAAGUCGAGCGAACAGACGAGGAGCUUGCUCCUCUGACGUUAGCGGCGGACGGGUGAGUAACACGUGGAUAACCUACCUAUAAGACUGGGAUAACUUCGGGAAACCGGAGCUAAUACCGGAUAAUCUAUUGCACCGCAUGGUGCAAUAGUAAAAGACGGUUUUGCUGUAUCUUAUAGAUGGAUCUCCGCUGCAUUAGCUAGUUGGUAAGGUAACGGGUUACCAAGGGAACGAUGCGUAGCCGACGUGAGAGGGUGAUAGGCCACCCGAGAGUUGGGACACGGACAAUACGACUACGGGAGGCAGCAGAAGGGAAUCUUCGGCAGUGGGCGAAAGCCUGACGGAACAGCGCCGCGUGAGAGAUAAAGGUCUUCGGAGCGUAAAACUCUGUUAUUAGGGAAGAACAAAUGUGUAAGUAACUAUACACGGCUUGACGGUACCUGAUCAGAAAGCCACGGCUAACUACGUG